rnacentral:ncRNA from 1 species
AAAGUUUUAUUCUUGCUUAUUUAUUCUCUUUUUCUUUGUAUUAUAUGCAAGUUUUGUAUAACUAAAUGUUCUUUCUGCAGUGAUUUGUUUUAAUUAUUAAGUUAUUUUAGAAUUAGCAAUUGAUUUAGUAUUGGCAUGUUUCGUGCCAGCAGCCGCGGUUAUACGAUUAAUACAAGUGAAUAUUAUUGGUUAUAGCAGUUGUUUGAAUUAUUGAGUUUAAAUAUUAAAUUAUAAGGUGAAAUUUGAUUUUAUUUUAUAACUCUAUUUAUGAAUCUGUGAAACUUAAAAGAUAAACUAGGAUUAGAUACCCUAUUAUUUUAGGUGUUAAUUUUACUUACCUGGGUAUUAAUAGUUAGGUUUUAGGUGUAAAUUUUACUUACCUGGGUAUUAAUAGUUAGGUUCUUAAAACCCAAAGAAUUUGGCGGUACCUCAUUCCUUUCAGAGGAACCUACCCCGUGAUUGAUAGUACACGAUUAACUUUACUUGAUUUAUUUGCUUGUAUAUCUCCGUUAUCAGAGGAUCUUUUUGGGGUAAUAAUUUUCUAAAUUUAUAAUUUUAAAUUAUUUCAGGUCAAGGUGCAGCUUAUAAUUAAGUGGAGGUGGGUUACAAUAAAUUAUUUGUUUAUUAUGGAAUUAAUAAUGUAAAAUAUUAAUGAAGGUGGAUUUGAUAGUAAUUUAAUUUAUUUAAUUUAAUUGAUAUUGGCUCUGAGGUGUGUACACAUCGCCCGUCGCUCUCAUUAUAAAAUUUAUUAUAUAUUUAUGAUUUAACUUAGAUGAGAUAAGUCGUAACAUAGUAGAUGUACUGGAAAGUGUAUCUAGAAAGAUAAU